rnacentral:rRNA from 1 species
AGGGAGUCUGAGAAACGACUACCACAUCCAAGGAAG